UAGGGAAUCUUCCGCAAUGGACGCAAGUCUGACGGAGCAACGCCGCGUGAGCGAUGAAGGUCUUCGGAUCGUAAAGCUCUGUUGUCAGGGAAGAACACGUGUGAGAGUAACUGCUCACACCUUGACGGUACCUGACCAGAAAGCCACGGCUAACUACGUGCCAGCAGCCGCGGUAAUACGUAGGUGGCAAGCGUUGUCCGGAAUUAUUGGGCGUAAAGGGCUCGCAGGCGGUCCCUUAAGUCUGAUGUGAAAUCUUGCGGCUUAACCGCAAGCGGUCAUUGGAAACUGGGGGACUUGAGUACAGAAGAGGAGAGUGGAAUUCCACGUGUAGCGGUGAAAUGCGUAGAGAUGUGGAGGAACACCAGUGGCGAAGGCGGCUCUCUGGUCUGUAACUGACGCU
rnacentral:rRNA from 1 species